AUUGAACGCUGGCGGCAUGCCUUACACAUGCAAGUCGAACGGCAGCACGGGGGCGAACCCUGGUGGCGAGUGGCGAACGGGUGAGUAAUGCAUCGGAACGUGCCCAGUAGUGGGGGAGUAACUAGUCGAAAGAUUAGCUAAUACCGCAUACGACCUAUGGGUGAAAGCGGGGAGUUCGCAAGAACCUCGCGCUAUCGGAGCGGCCGAUGUCUGAUUAGCUAGUUGGCGGGGUAAAAGGACCCACCAAGGCUUCGAUCAGUAGCUGGUCUGAGAGGACGACCAGCCACACUGGGAC
rnacentral:rRNA from 1 species